AUGUGGCUAGCAUUUCCCCUCCUACGAUCCCACCGAUAUUAUGUUGCUACUCAUCAGUUGUAUCUUCCUUCUCUCUGGUUAGCAACUAAAUUCAACCAAAAACUAAAGAGAAAAAGAGUAGAAAGGCGAGUAAAAAUCAUGGUUGGUCUAUCUGACAUUCCAUUUGUGGGAAAAACUAUUGACCGGAUAUCCGAUGCUACCGUUGAAGCAGUGUUUCGUAAAUUAAAAUAUAUGAUUAGUUACAGGGCUCUUAUUGGAGAUCUUAUUUCAGAAAUCGAGAAAGUCAACACGGAGGAGGCCAGCGUUUCAGCUGCAGCUGAUGCAGCAAGAGCUGAUGGUAAAAUCAUCUAUGCUGAUUUAUUCAAGUGGCAGUUAGAGGUCGCAGAAAUUCAGGCGAGUUAUAAUGAGCUUGUGGAAACAUACGAAAACAGAUCUUCGUGUCUGCCUAUUCCUAAUCCCGUAUCCCGUUUUCGACUGGGUAGGGAGGCUGUAGUCAAGGCCAGGAGGGUCAGUGAACUCACUGCACUGGGAAAGGAUCUCCUGGCUAGAGAAAUUGCAUUUCGUCCCCCGUACCAUGAUUUUGAGUCCAGAAAAGAUCCUUAUGAUAAGCUCUGGGAGGGGCUAGUGAAUCAAGAGAGUCCUCUUAUUCAUGCCAUCUAUGGAGCUCCGGGAGUUGGCAUUACUGAAAUGACGAGAAAAAUUCAGCAGGAAGUCUUGAAGCAGAAUAUCUUCGACAAGGUAGCAUUUGCAAUUGUGGGACGUGAUAGAUUGGACAUUAUAAAUUUACAAAACCAGAUUGCAGACCAUCUAGGAUGCCAUUUCGAAUCACGAGAUGAUGUGGGACAUAGAGCCUCUCAGCUGAGUGGUUGUUUGUUGAAUUCAGGGAGAAUCCUAGUCAUAUUUCACGAUGUAUGGACUAGAAUUCAAUUCGAUGUUAUUGGAAUUCCAUGGGAUGAUGGAAGUAGUUCCAUGGGUUGUAAGAUCCUCUUGACUUCUCGAAACCCAAGUGUAUGCUUGCUUAACAAUUGUAGGGAUCCCACACAAAUUCGACCCCUUACAAUGAUUGAAGCAUGGGAUUUGUUCAAGAACACCGUUGGUAUUUCUGAUUUUGGUGUGUAUAAAAACUUGGCUAUGAAAGUGUGUAAGAAAUGUGAAGGCCACCCACUCAUCAUCAGUGCACUUGGUAAAGCACUGCGAUGCAAGCCUCUUGACUCGUGGGGUGACACACUUCUUCAACUUGAUUGCGGUGAAAUUGGUUUCAGUCUUGAGAUGGAACCAAUAAUAUAUUCUUGUUUUAACCUGAUCAUCGAUGAAUUACCAGAUGAUGCAAAGUCAUGUCUUUUACUGUGUUCGUUGUUUCCUGAUAAUGCUGAGAUCCAUAUUGGGAAGCUCAUCCAGUUAGCUACAGCCUCACAGCUUGUAUUAGAUGGGGAAUCUAGAGUAUGUACUAUGGUUGAUGAACUCUCAUCUUCUAUGUUGCUUGAUUAUACAGAUUUUCAUGAAAUAAAAAUGCAUCGGCCCGUUAGGGACUGGGCAAGAUCCAUAGCUAUCAAAGACCCAAAAUAUGCAUUUCAAUUUGCAAGAUGUGGUCCAGGGUUGCCUGAUCACUGCGAUUAUGGUACUCGGAAAUUCCUGUUUAUAGAUAUGCAGAUUGAUGAUGUUUAUUUCCCUGAUGAUCUGGUGUGCCCAAACCUGCUUAACCUGUGGCUACAAUGCAACAAACAUAGACAGCGAUUCUCAAGUGGUUUCUUCAGCAUGUUCAGAAAUCUCAGAUUUCUAUUGAUCCAUGAAGGUAUGUUCUCUUCUUUGGAGCCACAGUUCUCUCUUCGACACUUGGGUAACCUCAGUACGCUUAUUCUAGAUUGUUGUGAUAUGACUGACAUUGACCAGACGCAUAUUAACUUUUUCCCUCAAAGCCUACAAACUCUCUGCAUUUGGAAUUGUGAUCUCCCAGUGCCUCUGGAUUUACCGAACCUGAGUUAUCUUAGAAAGCUAGAAAUAGAUUCGAGAUGUCCAGUGAUAAUAGUUCCAAAUUUCAUAUCUAGGCUAUCUAGACUAGAAGUGUUGCAUAUACGGAAUGGACUCCAGUUCCAGGAUGGAUCUCCUGCUACAGCUCCCUCAUCAUUCGAGAUAAGUAAGUUGAAAUAUCUGAAGAGUUUAAAGAUGCCCUUCAGGGUUUCUGACCCUGUCCAAGAUAAAAAUGUCUUGGGUGAUUUAGAUGAAUUCGAAAUAUGUGUGGGUGAGCCAGGGGAGGGUACUCAUUAUCUUUUAAAUUCAAGUGUUUCUGUUAAAAGACGGAUUGAGUUGUAUAGCAAUCAGUUGGAAGCCUUUACAAAUCUGAUAGAGAGGGCUGAAGACGUAAAGUUGCUGUGCAAUGAUAUUGAUGUGAGUAGCAUUUUCAGUAACAACAGACAAGCAUUUGGUGAUUUACGGAACCUGUACAAUGAAGAAUGUAACACCAUCGAUUUUCAGGCAAGGAUAUCAGGAGACAAGAUUCAGCAUAGUCACCAAUGCCAAAGAUCAUUUUGUAAAUUAACUACCAUACAAAUAUAUGGUUGCUCUUCAAUGACAUAUCUGUUCAGCAACUCUAUUGCGAACUGUUUCAUGCAACUGCGAGAGCUCUGUAUAGAAAAUUGUCCAAAAAUAGAAGCAAUCGUAAGGGAUGAAGGCACAAGUGAUGAAGGGGACAUAAUCUUCUACAGAUUAAAAUUAUUGAAGCUGGUAGGAUUGCCCAAACUCACAAACUUCCAUGAGCACAACGAUGUUCAAUUUCAUCUUCUAUUUGAUGAAAAGGUAGCUUUCCCUUCUUUGGAAGAAUUGCAUAUUGAAGAUUUGGAAGAUACAAAAGAUAUUUGGGCAAAGCAUGACUACAAAAACGUUAAAUCUUUUUCCCACCUGAAGAGCCUAAAGGUAUCAGAGUGUAAUAACCUUAAAAUUGUGAUCCCACCUGCCAUGUUUCCUAGGCUACAGAAUCUGGAAUCCUUAAGCAUAGGUUGUUGUGAUUCGGUGAUCUCUGAAGUUGGCACCUUUGGCAGCAACGCAGAGGUAUAUCCACUGGAAGCUUUACGUGCUCUGGAUCUAGAAAGCUUGCCUUGUUUGACAGAGACAAAACUGAACUCGAGGGAAAAUUCUGAAGGAAAGACUUGGUAUCCGAAUCUCGAAAUUCUAAGAAUUUGCGACUGCAAUAGCUUGAGAAAUGUGUUCCUGUCUACUACUGCAAGAGACCUUAUGCAGCUUAAGAAAUUGCGUGUAGUUAAUUGCAAGAAGAUGACAGAGAUAAUUGGGGUGGGCAAACGAGAUAUCACUGCUGGUAUCAUAUUAAGAGAGAUGACGGAUCUGCAGCUAACUCGUUUACCAAAUCUGACUAGCAUUUGGGGUUACCAGAGUGAGGAACCUGAACAAUACAAGGUUGAAUUCCCAAAAUUGGUGAAUUUUAAAUUUCUCAAUUGUGCGAAAUUAACUUGGAUAAGAUAGAGUUGAGGAGACAUUAUUUCACAGAUUGCCACUUAAUGAGCCCAGAUAUAAGUUGACAGAGAUACAGCUGUAAAUGGCAACUUGGACAAUAUAAUCUGGAAUGGCUGGAAUUGAGCUGCUGUUGUUGGGAUUAGUGGAAAUCUCUAUGCUCCCAAUGAAAGAAUGAAGUUGAAUAAGAGUGCUGGAGAAUGUAGUAAUAGUAAUCAAUAGCUGGAAAGAGAAGAGCAGCACCAGGAAAGCAAGGACUGAGGAGGAUGAUCAAGCAUAACGGAUUGAUCCAGAGGCCAUUGUGAUUACUCAAGAACAAACUGAAGACUCAGAUUUUUGUUCCUUUCUUCCAACAUCAACAACCACAUUCAGGAAAAUGUGAACAUCAUCGGGAUAUGGCUAGGCUGUUGCCUUGGCCACUUAAUCUCUUGAAUCUAGUUGCAUUGUUGCUAUUCAAAGCACAAUAGUCAAGCGAGUAGAUACCGACAAUAAGAAGAAUUAAACAACCAUUAACGAUGGCAAUUGUCCUCCAUUGUCCCUUGAUGAUAUUCAGAACUCCGGCCUUGCAUGAAUUGGCAAUUGCAGUUAGAGCACAACACAUUCUGAUUAUUGCUCCAAGUCUUGCAAUCAGUGUCUCGGUGUGCAGGAUCAUUUUUAGGCACAACCCAGAAUGUAAAGUUGUGGAACUUGAAUCCACAGUAUAGUGGAGGUUUGCAGCAUCCGGACUGUGUAUUUUAUAUUUAUACACGUGUACAGGAACUAAGCCUUCUAUCGGAUUCAUACAAUUAAGAUGACUUUUAUGCGCA